rnacentral:rRNA from 1 species
AGUGAACGCUGGCGGCAGGCCUAACACAUGCAAGUCGAGCGAACGGACAGUAAGCGCUCGCCUCUGCGGUUAGCGAGUGGCGGGCGGGUAAGACAUACAUAACCUACCUCUAAGACGGGGGGGACUACGUGGGGCCGGUUCUACUACUAGCGAAUAUGUCGAACGGCAUAGAUCAAGAGUGAAUCACAGUUUUCCUGUCACUUAGAGAUGGAUCCGCGUUGGAUUAGCUAGUUGGUAAGGUAAAGGCCCACCAAGGCGACGAUGCGUAGCUGAUCUGAGAGGAUGAUCAGCCACACUGGAACUGAGACACGGUCCAGACUCCUACGGGAGGCAGCAGUGGGGAAUAUUGGACAAUGGGCGCAAGCCUGAUCCAGCCAUACCGCGUGAGUGAAGAAGGCCUUCGGGUUGUAAAGCCCUUUUGUUGGGAAAGAAAAGCAGCAGGUUAAUACCCCGCUGUUCUGACGGUACCCAAAGAAUAAGCACCGGCUAACUUCGUG